CUUUUCGUGUCUGGUCAGCGGAGGAAUUUGCUAUCUCCCUCUCUUCCUCCUUUUCGUUUUUCUGUACGGAAGGCGUGGGCAUGUCGCCCUUCGUUAUCCGAUGGGGGCUUUUCAUCUCCUUCGGCGAUAUCUUCGGCCCGUUUGAUCGAUCUGCUAUUCUAUAUUAAUCUUUUUUCGCUAGAUCUGUCCCUCUUAAAAGUUUUUCAGGAUUCCUUUUCACUUUGCGUUUUAUUUUUUGUUAUAUAUCUUCCCACAGUGGCGGCUGAUGAGUUCUUGCGUUGCGAUAUGGUGUCAGAUUCCUUAAGUUCGCGUCUAAAUUAAGUGGAAUGAGGCCGAUCUAUUGCAGUUCCGCCAGAUCUCUUUUUCUAUCGGGAAAACCCUAUUGUUUCUUUUUUAUUUUUAGAUCUGUUAUUUUCGUGCAGAUGAUUUUAUUUUGAUUUUGCGUUGUUUUUUUAUGAAUUCUCAUUCUACAGUUGCUGGUAACAACUGGGUGGGGUGUUCGAUACCUUGAUGAUGUGAUCGGUAUAUCGAGGAGGCGUUUCAACAGUAUCUGUUUGACAUGAUCUUUUCGGCAAAAUCAACCUGUUUUUUGGAACUCUUUUCUGUUUUCCUUGAAUCGUUAUCUAAUUAUCAUCAAAUCAUCAACUUUUUUUUUUUUAUUUUUAAUUUUCUACUGCAGUUCCAUUUGAUGACUUUGGGGUCGGUUAGGAUUUCAGCAUGUUCAUUUCUUCGCGGCGUUACGGAGAUUGAGGCCGAUUUAUUGAAAAUCAGACAAGACUUAUUUACUUUCGGGAGAUACUUUCUGCCUUUUGUUUAAAUUGUUCAUUUCGUUUGGUUUGCUUGUGCGAGAAAUAUUAUGUGACUGCUACAUAGAUCUGAUACGUUGUUAUUUUGUGUUUGUCUUAUUUUAAACUGCAGUUUCUUGAAAAAAUUUUGAGGUCGAAAGCCUAUGUCCUGUGAUAGUCUCGGCCAACUGAUACCCAUUUUUCUUCAAUCAGAGCUGAUACUUUAGGCUAUUCAUUCAACCUUUUAAACACCUUUUUCACUUGCCUAAUAAUUUUUCCGUAGACUUUGUUGAAUUUAUGUUUUUGAGGGGGGUUUGUUGUCAGGGUACUUGGUUCUUUAUGUUGGUGAGGAUGAACGCAAGUUUGGCGCAGCUUAAAUCGGUUUGGUUAACUUUUUUUAUUCAUCUUUAUCGUUUUUUUUUUCUUUUUUAAUGUCUGGGGUUCGUUUGCUUGACAAAUUAUGUUUUUUUUGGAAUAUUUGGAUUGUUUUUUGUUUAAUUUUUAUUUUGCAGCACUGCAUGCUGAUAUGAAAGGUGCCAGUCUCCUCGAUUCAUUGUCCAUUAUUCUGAGAAGGAUGUCGGGCUGCUGGAAUUCAAUCUAAUUGGAGGGAAGAUUCUAGCUUGCCGACGCAAUGUUAUUACGCUGUUCUCUUGUCUCCUCAGUGUCGUUGAAAUAUUCGCUUGGGGCUAUUGUUCUUAUAGUAUAGAUGUAAACGUUGAGCACAAGUGAGAAUCGAGAGGGUAGUAGAUACACUUACGAGAAGUGAAGGUACGACAUAUGUUGAGGGCAUGAUCAAUUCUUUCUGAUGUCGGCCUUUGCCAUGUUGGGCGAGCUCGCAUGGCAGGUCAAACAUAUAAUAAUACAGUUAUUUUCUGUUUUGCGGGGCGUACGGGAUAAUCCUUUAUCCCGGAUUCUCCUCGACUGUGGCUUUCUUGUCUUGUGCCUUGCUGAACUCAAAACGUCGUCUCUUUUGAUCAAUUCCCCGCGCAGCGUAAUUUAUGGAGGUACAUGUCUACGUGCGUUUGUCAUUCAAGUUCAUGUGGAACGUAUUAAAAUUUUCGUAUUCGUUCAUCGCAAAACAUUUUAAUUCAAGCCCUCGCUGCGCCCUUCAUAAUCAAAAAGCUGUUUGAAAAGAUUUAUCUUAAAGAGGGUGGCAGUAAAUCACCUGGCUACAGAUUUGUCGUUAUUUUGAAAAGAAGCAAGACUGCGGCUCGCAAUUUAGUUCAUCAGUUUGGGUCUUUUUCGUGCCGACAUCUAUGCAAAAGGCUAUGCCUCGCAGUUUAGUUCAUCAGUUUGGGUCUCUUUCUUGUUGCAUCUAUGCAUCCAGGGGGUUUUCUAGAGAAGAUCUACACAGUCCUUUUGAAUCAGUGCUCGACAUUUUGAAGUUGAUUGAUUACAUUUCAAGUGGCAUGGGCUUAUGACGAGAAACCUAGAUGAUUAGUGUUUUUUGCUUAUUGUUCUUCCAAUCUUUUAUUAGAUUUUUAAUUUGAAUUAUAAUUCACGAGCUAGAUGGUAUUUUUUU